rnacentral:rRNA from 1 species
CCCGUUCCCAUUCCGAACACGGAAGUUAAGCUCGUCUGUGCUGAAAAUACUUGGCUGGAGACGGCCUGGGAAAAUAGGUCGAUGCUGACA